AAGACCUUUGCGCUUUUGGAGCGGCCGAUGUCUGAUUAGCUAGUUGGUGGGGUAAUGGCCUACCAAAGCUUCGAUCAGUAGCUGGUCUGAGAGGACGGCCAGCCACACUGGGACUGAGACACGGCCCAGACUCCUACGGGAGGCAGCAGUGGGGAAUUUUGGACAAUGGGCGCAAGCCUGAUCCAGCCAUGCCGCGUGAGUGAAGAAGGCCUUCGGGUUGUAAAGCUCUUUCAGCCGGGAAGAAAAGGUUGCGAUUAGUAAUCGCAAUUGAUGACGGUACCGGAAGAAGAAGCACCGGCUAACUACGUGCCAGCAGCCGCGGUAAUACGUAGGGUGCGAGCGUUAAUCGGAAUUACUGGGCGUAAAGGGUGCGCAGGCGGUUUUGUAAGUCAGAUGUGAAAUCCCCGGGCUUAACCUGGGAACU
rnacentral:rRNA from 1 species